rnacentral:rRNA from 1 species
GAUGAACGCUGGCGGCGUGCCUAAUACAUGCAAGUCGAGCGAACGGACGAGAAGCUUGCUUUUCUGAUGUUAGCGGCGGACGGGUGAGUAACACGUGGAUAACCUACCUAUAAGACUGGGAUAACUUCGGGAAACCGGAGCUAAUACCGGAUAAUAUUUUGAACCGCAUGGUUCAAAAGUGAAAGACGGUCUUGCUGUCACUUAUAGAUGGAUCCGCGCUGCAUUAGCUAGUUGGUAAGGUAACGGCUUACCAAGGCAACGAUGCAUAGCCGACCGGAGAGGGUGAUUGGCCACACUGGAACUGAGACACGGUCCAGACUCCUACGGGAGGCAGCAGUAGGGAAUCUUACGCAAUGGGCGAAAGCCUGACGGAGCAACGCCGCGUGAGUGAUGAAGGUCUUCGGAUCGUAAAACUCUGUUAUUAGGGAAGAACAUAUGUGUAAGUAACUGUGCACAUCUUGACGGUACCUAAUCAGAAAGCCACGGCUAACUACGUG